CCGCUUCGGGAUGGGCUCGCGGCCUAUCAGCUUGUUGGUGGGGUAAUGGCCUACCAAGGCAACGACGGGUAGCUGGUCUGAGAGGAUGUCCAGCCACACUGGGACUGAGACACGGCCCAG
rnacentral:rRNA from 1 species